CGCAUGCAACUAAGAAACUUACAAUGUAUAUUAUAUACAUAUGUAUAUUACUUCAGACACGUGGUAUAUGUCAGUUAUUUGGCAACAGCUUCUGCUUCUACGCAUAUAUAAAUUCAAGUAGUUUAUGCAAUUUCCAGAUAAAGUACCACCAACUUUGAAGAAGUAUAUUUCGGAACCAGCAAUUUCAUUUCUAUUUUCGCUUCUCACUGAGAAUAUUAAGAUUAUAUAAUAUUAGUAGUUUGGGCAUGUUUGUAAUAUACAUUCAAAUCGAUUUUAGCGCGCAAGUUUUUUGGUCUUAUCGAACUAGUCGCAGUGUGACCGUUCGAACCAUUUAUCGUGUUACGUUGGGGCACACUGCUCACUGAAUUCUGUUAGUUGUUAGAGAGCCGAGCGACUGUGAAGACGUACGUGUGUGCUCCUACAGUGCUCUCAGAAUUUAUUUUUGGCUCCUUGGUCGAGAUUUCCAACAAAAACUAAUUAAGGACUAUUAAGAGACUGUUAACAA
rnacentral:sRNA from 1 species